CUUUAUCCAGGCGAUCUGGGUAUAAAUGUGGCCGAACUUUGAGUCUUCUCUAUCAUUAAAACUCUCAAGCCACGACCAUGAAGACUAUUGUCAGCAUCGUUUUGUUCAUUGCCUGUGCUGUCUUGGCGUUCGCCUCUGCGCUGCCCGACGUACGAAAGGCACAACAAGCAGCGCUAGUAGGAUGAAUCAAGUACAUUGCAUCUGAACAUCAUACUAAACAUCUUCACUAAAUAUGUUGUAAUAAUAAACAGUUUCUCUUAAAA